rnacentral:rRNA from 1 species
AGUGAACGCUGGCGGUAGGCCUAACACAUGCAAGUCGAACGGCAGCACAGUAAGAGCUUGCUCUUACGGGUGGCGAGUGGCGGACGGGUGAGGAAUACAUCGGAAUCUACUUUUUCGUGGGGGAUAACGUAGGGAAACUUACGCUAAUACCGCAUACGACCUACGGGUGAAAGCAGGGGAUCUUCGGACCUUGCGCGAUUGAAUGAGCCGAUGUCGGAUUAGCUAGUUGGCGGGGUAAAGGCCCACCAAGGCGACGAUCCGUAGCUGGUCUGAGAGGAUGAUCAGCCACAUUGGAACUGAGACACGGUCCAGACUCCUACGGGAGGCAGCAGUGGGGAAUAUUGGACAAUGGGCGCAAGCCUGAUCCAGCCAUACCGCGUGGGUGAAGAAGGCCUUCGGGUUGUAAAGCCCUUUUGUUGGGAAAGAAAAGCAGCAGGUUAAUACCCCGCUGUCCUGACGGUACCCAAAGAAUAAGCACCGGCUAACUUCGUG